CGCACAUUGCACUCCCUGGCAUUCCGGGGAGUAUGCCUGUUCGAGCGUCAUUUCACCUCUCAAGCUUUGCUUGGUAUUGGACAUUAUCACUGUAAAAGUGAUAAGUCUGAAAAAUAGCGACAGUUUCAAUAACAACAGACGCAGUGAAAAUAUUCGUUGUGUUGUUAUUGCAAACUUGUCAAACAUAUAUCAAAAUCUUGACCUCGGAUCAGGUAGGGAUACCCGCUGAACUUAA
rnacentral:misc_RNA from 1 species